CCUAGAAACGCGCACGUAGGCGCAUAUCAGCUUGCUCGUUUGCUGUUGGAUCGAAGGCUUUUCCUUUCGGUGUUUCUAUUCUACCCACCCACCACUGCCUGCUCCUUCCUUGCUGACGGCGUCGCUUCUCUUGAGCUCAUCAUCUCGCAUCCGCGGCCCUCCCUCUAGCUGCCUCUUUUCCUGUUGAACAGAAGUAUUACUCACACACACACGCACGCAGAGAGAUUCAAGAAGAUGCCGACGUUGGCCGUGGCGAAGGACUACAUCUGCCGGCUGAUCGGCAAGUCCUACACAGACGAGGAGUUCAACGACCUGUGUUUCCAGUUUGGCCUGGAGCUCGAUGACAUUACGAGUGAGAAAGAAAUGUUCAUGAGGGAGCAGGGCAAGAGCGCAAAGGCGAGCGUGGCUCCGGCGGAGGCCCCUGCGCACCUUUCGGAGGAGAAGCUCUACAAAAUUGACACCCCGGCAAACCGUCACGACCUUCUCACCGCGGAGGGCAUGGCCUGCGCUCUAAAGGUGUUCAUGGGGACAAUGCCGCUCCCCAACUACCGCGUCCUCAACCGUGCCAACCCGCUCUACCGCAUGACCGUGGAGAAAAGCGUGAAGAACGUGCGCGACUACGUUGUGUGCGCUGUACUGCACAACAUCCGCUUCAACGAGCGCAGUUACAACAGCUUCAUCGACUACCAGGAGAAGCUCCACGCCGGGUUGGCCCGCCGCCGCACGCUGGCCUCGGUUGGCACCCACGACCUAGACAAGGUGAACACGACGGACUUUAUCUUCGCCUGCCGCCCGCGCGAGACCAUCCGGUUCGUUCCGCUGCGGCAGACAAGGGAGCUGAACUGCUCAGGCAACGGCCUCACGCAGUACUACGCCGAGGACCGCCACAUCGGCAAGUAUGUACCGCUAAUCUCCUCCUUUCCGACCUACCCGGUUGUGUACGACGGUACCGGCCAGAACGUGCUCUCGUUGCCGCCGAUCAUCAACUCGCGCUACUCGGCCAUCUCCGUGGACACCAGGAACAUCUUCAUUGAGUGCACGGCCCCGGACCACUACAAGGCGCAGGUGCUGGUGAACCAGCUCGUGUGUGCCUUCUCGGCCUACUGCGAGGAUCCCUUCACAGUGGAGGCGGUGCAGGUGAACUAUGAGGAGCCGACGCCAGACGGAACAAGGUCGCUUGUGACACCAACGAUGGAGACGAAGGAAAUGACGAUGAGCAUCGCACGCCUCAACUCGAUCAUCGGCAUCGAAAUGAAAAGUGGUGCUGAGUGCGCGCAGCUGCUGAAGAAGAUGAUGUACACGAUCAAGGAGACGACGGAGAGUGAGGUGACGGUGACGGUGCCGCCAAUGCGCACGGACGUCAUCGGCGUCGCGGACGUGAUGGAGGAUGUCGCCAUCGCGUACGGCUACGACAACAUCGCCUACGUGGAGUGCAAGACCCAUGGCCCUGUGACGCAGACGCCGCUGAGCAAGGUGGCGCAGCUGCUGCGCACUGAGAUGGCCUGCGCAGGCUACACGGAGCUGCUGACGCUGUCACUCUGCUCGCGCGCCGAUGCGUUCGAGAGCCUGGGCCGCGUGGACAACGACGUCGCGGCGCACAUCGCCAACCCGCAGACGAUGGAGUUCCAGGUGUGCCGCCCAUCACUGCUCCCCGGUAUUCUGAAGACGCUCGCGACGAACAAGUCGAAGCCUCUACCGCAGCGCUUCUUCGAGUGCGCGGACGUCGUCCUGCUGGACAACGAACGGAACUUCCCACCGGUGCUGGAGUUGAAGGCCGACUACGCGUCCUGUGGUGCGCGGAACCAGAGACACCUCGCCGCCGCGCACUGCAACGGCAGCUCUAGCGGAUUUGAGAGCAUUCACGGCCUCACCGAGCUCGCCCUACUCAAGCUUGGCGUCCCGUCGAAAGCGGAGAUAGCAGAGGACUACGAAGGCGACUACUACACACUGGAGAAGGGCGAGGACGGCGCCUUCUUUCCUGGCCGCGCUAUGGACAUCAUUCUUCACCGCGCUGGUCAGGCAGUGCGCAUCGGGCACCUCGGCGUCAUCCACCCGAACACGCUCAAGGCGUACGACAUUCCGAGCCCGUGCUCUUACAUGGAGCUCAACAUCCAGUUCCUGUGCGUCCCUCUGUAAAGCGGCGCCGUCCGGGUGAGAGGAAACGAAUGAAGGAAGGCGGGCGUUGAUACGCGCACGGAGAGGGUGAGGCGACUUGGCCGAACGGCAGGAGGGAAGCCGGGAGUCGAUACGACACCUGGGUGUGAUUCUGUGCGUACCCACCGACUCACUCUUCCUCUCCGUCUCCCGGCCCACUCAAAGAGUGGGCAUCUUAGGCUGCUUAGAGCGCAGAAGGUCGCGCACGGUGGUGAGUGAGGGAGCGAGCGAGCGAGUGGAGGGGGAAGUGCACGCUGCUUUGCCAUGCUGCACCUCACGUAUAUUGAGCUGGAGCUGUCCUAACACCCUCGUUCCUCUCACUCCGAUACCGCCACGCGCACGCACACGCCACCCCUCUCCCCCACACUCUCCUCCAAAACCCAUUUCUAUCUUCAUGAGGCUGUGCCGCUUCUGUUGUCGUCCCCGUUUGCUGCGUACGUGUGUGCGUGUGCCGAGACGCGCGAAUGCACAGGGAGCGCACAGCGGAGCAGACGAACGACAGGGGAAGUGAGCUACGGCGGGUUAAUGCCUAAGUGGUCUUUAACGUAUUUUUUGUUGUAUUGCCGUUGUUUAUCGUGCGGUGUGCGCCUCCCAUCCCAUCCCUCGUCCUUGGGUAGAAGACGGGUGUGACAUCCGCACCUCGGGGCGUGGCAUCUCAGGGCUCCGUGCAUACCCCACUCUGUGAGAGUGGGUGGGUGGGUGCCUGUCGCGUUGUUGCGCGCGCGCUCUCGACCUUUUCCUCUUUGUUUAUGCUUCUUCAAGUGCCAAGUCGGAGGGAGGGAGAGAGGGGCGGCUGGAGGGAGGAAUGGAAUUUCACGCAGCAUGUGUGAGCAGAAGGGGGGGCUUGGAUGCCGCACAUGUGUCUGCCUCUAUCGUUCAUUUAGCCCCACCACCACAGCCAUACACACGCGCCGAUGCCCCUGUUGCGGUACGUGCUUCACUGAAGCGACAUCGUAACAUUUCGCUUCUCGCGUUGCUUGUGUUGUUCGCCCACCCAUCACUCGGCAGAAGGAUGCGAAAUGCCGGGGAGAGGGAGAGCGAUGGCCAUGGCGAGAGAUCCACGGCUGCUUGGAGAGGCACUGGAGGUCGAGUUCCCCGGCGUGGAACAGUUGUGUGCGCAUGUGUGUGUGCACGUUCG
rnacentral:misc_RNA from 1 species